AUUGAACGCUGGCGGAAUGCUUUACACAUGCAAGUCGAGCGGCAGCGCGGGGCAACCUGGCGGCGAGCGGCGAACGGGUGAGUAAUGCAUCGGAACAUGUCCAUGUCGUGGGGGAUAGCCCGGCGAAAGCCGGAUUAAUACCGCAUAAGCCCGAGAGGGGAAAGCCGGGGACCGCAAGGCCUGGCGCGAUUGGGUUGGCCGAUGUCCGAUUAGCUAGUUGGCGGGGUAAGAGCCCACCAAGGCGAUGAUCGGUAGCUGGUCUGAGAGGAUGAUCAGCCACACUGGGACUGAGACACGGCCCAGACUCCUAC
rnacentral:rRNA from 1 species